rnacentral:sRNA from 1 species
UAGGAAUGGGCAUACCCCGCCGCGGAGC